rnacentral:tRNA from 1 species
GCCUGGGUGGCUCAGUUGGUUAAGUGUCUGACUUCGGCUCAGGACAUGAUCUCACAGUUCGUGAGUUCAAGCCCCACAUCGGGCU